CGGUACCUUGCUCAGGGGUACCUCAGGGUAGCCGUUCAGUGGAGUCGAACCCCCGACCUUCCGAUCAUGGGGCAGACACUCUACCUACUGAGCUAUCCCUGCCCCUGGUGUUACAGUGUGAGUCUGCAGGCUGGUAUCCAGAGCCUGAGCUGCUGUGGUUGGACGGUGAGGGAAAGCUCCUCUCUGCUGGACCUACAGAGACCCUCAGAGGUCCUGAUGACCUCUAUACUGUCAGCAGCAGAGUGACUGUGGAGAAGAGACACAGCAACAACAUCACCUGCAGAGUCCAACAGAGGAACACCAACCAGAGCAGAGAGACGCACAAACAUGUUCCAGUCCCGUCCUGGUAUUUGAAAUUGGUCUUGGUUCCGGGCUUACUCGCUGUGUUGGUGUCUGUUCUGUUGACCAUUCACAGAUGGCGACUGAGGAUUCCUGAACAUGCUGAAAAAGAGGCGAUGAUCAAGAAUCCAGAUGUGUAAUUACCACAAGGAACAGCUUUGAUAGAAAACCACACAACUCCAAAGGGGCAAGAACUUCAGAUCAUGUAAGAUCAGGAAGUGGAGCUUCUGACAUGUCUGGAGGAAGCAGGAGAGCAGCUGAAGAACGUACACAUUUUAAUGACAGGAAGACAAGCUUUGAGAAAGAGCUUAUGUGAAUACAGUGACUGUUAUUGUCAAUAUUCCUGAGCAAAUCACCUGUGCUUAAACAGUCUUCAGCGUGGCUUUAGUCUCUCAGUCUGGACCUGGAGUCUGGAUUUCUAAAUGGCGAUAACUGAAACGAGCCCUCAGUUCAUCUGUACAAAUUGGUUGUUACAUUUCUUACUGUGUUAGAGGACCUCCAUCAUCUGUAGUGUUGUCCAUGACUGUUUCACAACCUUAAAUGUACCAAUGAUGAAAAAGGCUCUUUGACCUCCAGGGAGUACCUAUGAAAGAAAUCUUUACCCAUCCUAAACUGCAUAAAUUGUAGUUGUGAAUGUUCACUAUUGUACAUGGGAAAGUUUCACAUAACGAGGUCAUGUAAUCUCUGUGAACCGAAAGCUUCAUCCUGCUCUAGACACUCACUUUUAUUCCGUUAUAGAGAGUGGAUAUCCUCAAUAUUUCCAUGCAGUUCUGACCGUGAGCACAAAAGAUCCCCUCACCACUCAAAUCUUAAGUUUAUGAGGGAAACCGAUCAGACAAAAGUUGGGUUAUAGGGAGAGGAGCUAAGAAAAGUCAGACAAACUGAAGUGUCAAACUCAGGAUUAAAAAGAUUUAUUUUGAACUGUGAACCAUGCAGAGCUGCUUAGGAGUCCAAGAAUAAAAAAUAUUGUAUUGGAAAUGAGCAGAAUAUGAUUCAUUUCAGUGCAAUAUUGUAACUGUGAAAACAAAGGAGUAGUACUUCUCUGGUUGUAGAUGCACCAUUUCAGGAAGACGCUACUUUGGGUCUUAUCUGAAGUCAGAGACUGACAAUCCUAGACUAGUCUAUUUUCGUUUAUAAUGGUUUAUUGUGAGCAGUGAGUCUCAGGAUUGGACUGUUUCCUCAACCAUAAUACAGAAAGUAAACAAAAUCCCUGUAGAAACCUCAAAAGACCCAAACUGUUUUAACUUCCUCUAGGCAACCAAAGAAUGGCUUCUUAUUUCUAACCUAGAGUUGAUGACUGUCACAUUCAUCAGCUGUUAAAUUUGCACUGAAUCUAAUAAUCUGUGAUAGCUACAAUGCUAAAUUUCUGUGAGGCACAAUUCAUAAAGGAGGUCUUUUAUUGGAAAGAGUUUUUGUAAUGACUUUAAAUGCUAGAAAUGGUCAAGCAUGGCAGUAUAUAAUCUGUAGUUUAAUAAUAAGUUAACAUUUUUAUUUAUUAAGGUUCUUUUUGCACUGCCCUAUGGUGACCUAUGCACAUUGUAACAGUGUCAUUUAUAUGUAUAAAGACUGUGAUCAUCAUUUCCUCUUGGUAUGUCAUAGCUAUAAGUACUCGUUAUGUUAAAGACACACAUCAAUUUUAAUUGUUGUGAUAGUCUUCCUUGUUUAACUGUAUGUACCUCUGUCUCUCUCCUUUAAUAUAAAAUUAAUGUAUUUCUACUGAAAAAGAAU